rnacentral:rRNA from 1 species
GACGAACGCUGGCGGCGUGCUUAACACAUGCAAGUCGAACGGAAAGGCCCCUUUGGGGGUACUCGAGUGGCGCACGGGUGAGUAACACGUGAGUAACCUGCCCUUGACUUCGGGAUAACUUCAGGAAACUGGGGCUAAUACCGGAUAGGAAUCCUUGCUGCAUGGUGGGGGUUGGAAAGCUUCGGCGGUUUUGGAUGGACUCGCGGCUUAUCAGCUUGUUGGUGGGGUAGUGGCUUACCAAGGCUUUGACGGGUAGCCGGCCUGAGAGGGCGACCGGCCACAUUGGGACUGAGAUACGGCCCAGACUCCUACGGGAGGCAGCAGCGGGGAAUAUUGCACAAUGGGCGGAAGCCUGAUGCAGCAACGCCGCGUGCGGGAUGACGGCCUUCGGGUUGUAAACCGCUUUCAGCAGGGGCGAAGCUUGUGGUGACGGUACCUGCAGAAGAAGCACCGGCUAACUACGUG